AUAUAAUUGUAAGUUUGUUGUACCUUUUUUUUUUUUUUUGGUACUGAGGAUUUAACACAGGGGUACUUUACCAGUGAGCCACAUCCUCAGCCCUUUUUAUUUUUUAUUUUGAGACAGGAUUUCACUUAGUUGCUGAGGGCCUCACUGAGUUGCUGAGAUUAGUCUUAAACUUGGGAUCCUCCUACCUCAGCCUCCCAAAUCACCUGGAUUCCAGGCUUGUACCAUAGCAUCUAGCUUAUUGUGAUCUUUUUAAAAAAGAUUUAUUAAGGUGUCCCUUACAUAUAUAAAAGGCAUCUUUUUUAGUGUGCAGCUUUAUGAGUUUUGACAAACACACAUGCUAAACACUACUACUGUUAAGCUAAUGAGAUGAAGUAUAAUAUGUGAAUAUGGUAUGACCAAGAGUAGUUUAUUCCCAUUUAAAAGAAAAAAUGGAUUUUUAUCCAACCUUUCUUGAAAAGAAUAAAAAAUUGUUAAAAUUUCUUUGACAUUAAUAUCAUUUUCAAAGCCUUCAAUUCUCAUAAGACAAACAGUAACUUUUGUGCACUGCUUUAAACACUAACUGGCUUAAGUCCAAAUAGUAGUUUAAUUUUCUUAAGGUAAUCUCAGUAGAUUUCAUUUAAAUAGAGGAUAAAAAUUUAUAACCUAUUAUUUAUUACCUGAAAAUUUAUUUAUCAUGUUGAUUAUUAAAGCUUCUAAAUGAUAAACCAGAGUAAUACAAAUUAAAAAAAAAAUAGCUGGCCAGGAUUAUAUGCUUAUAAUCCUAGCUACUUGAGAAAUCGAGGCAGGAGGAUUGCAAGUUUGAGGCCAGUGGGGGCAACUUAGAGAGACUUUGUCUCAAAAUAGAAAGAACUAGGGAUGUAGCUCAGUGGUAGGGUGCUUGCCUCACCUGUGUGAAGCCCUACAUUCGUUUCCUAGUACCACAUGCACAAAUAGCCAUGACACAAUUUUAGACAAAAUUUAAAAAAACAUUUCUGAAUGACCUAAAUGUAAGCCUAGCAAUCUCAACAUUAUUCUAAAUUUGUAUUGGUUAUUCAUCUUUUAUAUAGUCUUAGAUAUGUACAAAAAAUGUUUUUUUGAAACUCAAAAUGAAGAGUGAAUCUUACUUCUUUAAUAUCAAACCUGUACUUGUUUCUUUCCUGCAUAAAUAUUCAAUUCUGAGUUGAACUUGAGAGUUAAGCAAAUAUGGAUUUCAUUUUCAGCUAAAGUGCAGUUUUUUUCUUACCCAUGCAUAUAGGAAGUUGAAAACUGCAACAAAAUAUUCAUUGCUGUUCCAUGAAUAUUAGGGCAUCCUUAUUUCACAGAAUUUCAGAAUAUAUCUAGGGUUAAGCAGUAAAUACCGCCAAAGUGUGCAGUUAGACUCUGGCUCUCCGAGCACUUCCUUUCUCUCAAAGUCUCAAAUUCUCAGACUGAGCCGAACAGUCAGAGCCAGAGUCCCUCAUCCAGUCAUGUACUUAUAUUGAAAGGAAAGGAAAAUACCAUUCAAUGUUAUCUGGUAGUUCUCCUAGCUGUUUUUCAAUAGUUUUAAGGCUUGUUAAUAUUCUAUUACUCUCAAGCAGUUUUGGAAACAUUUUAAGAUUUCUUUUUUAUAAUUUGUUUCUUGUUUGUUUGUAGUACUGGGAUUGAAGUCGGGGGUGCCCUACUACCUAGCUACAUCCCCAGCUCUUUGAUUUAUUUUUUUAUUUUGAAACAGGGUUUUGCUAAGUUGCCCAAGCUGGCCUCUUCUGCCUUAACUUGCCAAGUUGUUGGGAUUACAGGCAUGCACCACUAUGUCUGGCUCAGUUUUUUUUAAUCCAUGAAUCUUGUCACUUGAAGUCAAAAGGUUUUCUCCAGAGCUUUGCAGAAAUUGGUUCAUAGGAAAUGUCUAUUGAGUAGGCUCUUCAUCAAGGCUCUAAGCAACAUCUGGCCUGCUUUUUCUUGAAAGUGCUCUGGCCACUCAAAUUUUUAACCCAACACCUGUAGUAACUCUUCCUUGCAUGCUAAAUGGCAUCUGUGUAUGAAGCAUAUACCCACUGAUUCAUCUUAGGUUUUGUGAGAGUAUUUAUUAUUUUUUUCCAGAUAUGAUGGUGACACUUAAGAAUUCAGCCAUUAUCCAAAUCACAUAUUUCUGAACACAGAAAAAUACAUAUUUCUAGUACCAGUCAAUAAAGAAAAUAAAAACAAGAAUAUACUCAUAUAACCUAUAUACAAACAACUUUAAUCAGAUAUAAUUUUUGACAGACCUAGAAAUAUUAUUAUUUGAAUGCUAAUGACCUCUAAGAUUUUUAUCCAACUUUUAAUAUAAUUUCAAAGUGAACAAACUUCUUAUGAUUUUACUCUUUAUCUUGAAAGGUUGGAGCAGUUCCUCAACUACUAGUCAGUUACCAACCAAAAGAAAUUGUGCAUGUGUUUUCAUAUUUUCACACAAUUUGUAUGUGUGUACAAAUUGCAGAUGUGCAGUACAAAUUGCAAAAUUUUUCUCUUGCUAGAUUUUUAAGACCCAUUUCAUGUUUUGUGCCAUCUACAAAAUGUUAUGACCAAAUAAUGAUUUGACAAUACCAUUAUUUUAAAUUAUGUUAAAAUUAUCCCAAAAUAAUAGAAAAUAUUAUUUUAUAUAUAUUUUAUUGCAUUUACAAAGAAAUGUGCACUUUAAAAAAAGUGUGUGACAGACUUUGAAUUGGUAGUAUCAGACAUCUGAAUUUAAUUACAAGUAUGAUAAAUCUAAAACAAAGAAGACAUAUAUAAUCACAUACAUAUGAUAAUGCUUAGUUUACAUUUUAGAUAUCAGGUACAUCUCUGUCCUAAAAGUAUGGACAAAAAAUUUUGUACUCCUUAUUCAUGACAUGUAAUUCACCAAGCACCAAGGCAAAAUGAAGACUGACUCACCUCUUAUUGAAGUAAAUGCCUGUGACAAACAUUUGUACAAUAUCAUGUAAAAAGCCAAGCAAAUGAAAUUAUUCAAUAAGCAAAUUCAAAUCAGUGUUUUAAAAAAAUAUAAUCUUUGGUAAUUUUCCUCUUUUAAUGUUCUGACCUAGACAAUAAUGUAGUGUUUUGGAACAAAGACUGUCAUGCCAUUUCCAAUUUUGGACUAGAAAUUGUCCUUAUGGUAUGAUAUGAGAUGUAAACAAUAGCAGUUUUUAAAAAGCAAAAAUAAAAAGUUGAAAGAAAAAAAUGACUUCCUCUUCUGCAUGUGAGGACAGGGUCUUAAGGAUCCCACUGACCUUCAUAUCCAUGUCACUCCAGACUCAUCCUCAGGCUGGUGGUCCUUUCAUUGUCUGAUUCUCCAUGAUCUCUAUGGCUACACAGAGACUAUUGAAUGUGGGGCCAUCCUACUUUUGAUACUCAGACCUUCAUUUUUCUCAGCAUCCUCUUGGAACAAAGAAGUUGUGGGCAGGGGGUGGGGGGCUUCAGAUGCUCUCCCAUUGUUUUUCUGUACUGUUGCAGGUAGAGUGGUGCUUCAUUGCUUGGUCUGUGUCAGUGCUGUGGGGUGCCCAGCAGAGGCCUUACUUGCACAAUUCCCUUUCCUCUCCACAGUGGCAGUGGCUGUAACAUUCUUGGCUAGGUCAGACACUUUUACACAGUUUUUAAAACAUUCUUGAGCGAACUUGUCUGUGUUUAACAAACAGCCAUUUGGGGGAUCCAUAGCUACCUUCAUAAAUUGUUUUCCACAGAUGAAGCACAAUGAAAUAGAGCAACUUGAGUUUUUACCCAAGUACCACCUGUUAAUAAACAGUUUCCAUCAACAAGAUGGACUUUUUGGUGUCCCCUAUUACAGUAGUGUGGUGAAAUGGUUCCAAACCUUCUAAUUCAUUGUCAUUACUUUAUCAGAGUCGUCUUUAGGUUUAGGCUUAGAAUCUUCCUCUCGCAGAAAAUCACACUGAAUCGAGUAAUUCCUUCCAACUCUUUUUGACACCAGUGAGAGCAUGCUUGCUCUGGUUGGUGCAUAAGAGGUGGUUGGGGCAGAUAAGUCAGAAAAAGACGUGCUUUCUGUGUUCAGUACAACUUGGGGCUCACGAACUACCAAUGGCUUCCUUUGUCUUGCAGUAAAAACUGAAAGUGGAAUUAACCAAAUGAACACAGUCCUGCUGCUCACUGCUAUAUGAGUGUUAAAGACCUAUCAUAUUGCUAUCUGGGCUACUCAGUCUCUGUCCAUUCCUGUGAAUGUGCAUUGCCCAGUGUACAAAGUUCAAAUGUUACUCUUUUUUAAUCACUCCCUUACUUGGAGUUCUUAGUGACAGCUCAAUAACAUCCCUGGGAUGUUAUUGAAAACUUGGUUUGGACAGCUGUAGCCAUUUAGAGUUUUCCAUAUUUAAAAGUAUGAGGCAUAAAUAGUGGCCUCACAAAAAUGUCUAUAUUCUAAUCCUGGGAACCUGUGACUGUUAUGUUACAUGGCAAAAGGAACUUUGCAGAAGCUUGAGAUGGGGAGGUUCUCCUGCAGUUCCUUUUAAGGCUUUAGGGACAAUUAAAAUAAAGAUGUUAAAAUGGGACAUGAUGGUUAAAAGCAUGGACUCUGUAGCCAAACUGCUGUGUGAUUAUGGAUAAUUUGUUUUUCUAUGCCUCACUUUUCACCUCUGAAAAAUAGAACUAAACUAUUGUUGUGAGGAUUAGAUGAGAGGAUUAGGAUAGUAUGUGGCACAUCACAAAUACUCACAAGUGUUAGCUAUUUCUUAUUUACAUAGCAAUUCCAUGUGGAAGAACAUUUCUUCUGAUCUUUGCUCUAGAUCUGAGAGCAGAUGAUCUAGCUGUAAUAGCACAGUUUACACUGGAUUGUGUGUAGUGAUUUCUUUCUUAUCCUUGUUAGUCUUCGAAUUUUAUGAAUGUAGUUGACUUGUUCUCAUAUUACACUAUGUAAUUGGAUAUGUUAAUCCUUCACUUAGAAAUCUUCCUUUUAAUGCAUUGGCUCAAUUUACAACUAUCAUGGUUUUAUCUUUGAUGCAAAAACAUGCACCCUUUUUCAUCUAACCUGGGAGCUAUAGAUGGUAUGGUAUUAUUUUAGUAUUUGAUCUUCAUUUAUGUUUAUUAUUUCUUCACUCAUUGAUAUAGAUUCUCUAGCCAUUUGUUUACUAGAGCAUGAUAACCUCUAGAACUGGAAAUUCAGUCAUUCAUUCAAUAAAAUAUUUCUUCAACAAAGAUCUGUUUAUUCCUUGUGCAUACUACAAAAGGAACAGUUCCCACACCUUUCAGGAUGCUUAUUGUGUAGUCAGCAAGACAGAGCCAAAAGCACAUGAUUAUGAUUAGAGAUGUGCACCAAUGUCAUAGGUUGGCAAAAAGAAGGACUGAGGGAGUUCAAUAAAUCUAGCCAGAUUUAGGACUCACUGAGUAUGUAGGAGUUGACCAUGCAGAGAGAGAGCACAUCAUAGACCAUUCUGAAACACCUUAAAUAGGCACCUUUCUAUGUAAUCUAUGAUCUUAAUUACAGUCAGCUUCCUUCAUCAUGGAGCACAAUGUUUGACAUUCUACCUUGAAUUAAACAAGAAAUUCAGACUUGAAAUCACUGCCUCCAUAUUAAAUUAUUCGAAGUAUAAUGAUUACAUUAAACCUUACUGUGUAGUCUCAGGCAAAAAGAUUGUUGGUAAGGAAUGUAGCAUCAGCCCUACCAUUUCAACUGAAAGAUCUAGAUGAUGACAGGUUAUAAAAUUGACUCACCCCAAAGUAACAACAAGUUUAAUAUCAACUUGGAAAAAAAAUAAUCUUAACAUCAAAAAGACUUUGAAAGUUGUAAAGCAAUCAUCUUUUGACUGUCAAAAAAAGGUAGUAAAGAGGUAAGACAUAAAAGAGAUAAC
rnacentral:lncRNA from 1 species